GUGCUUAACACAUGCAAGUCGAACGGAAAGGCCCUUCGGGGUGCUCGAGUGGCGAACGGGUGAGUAACACGUGGGUGAUCUGCCCUGCACUUUGGGAUAAGCCUGGGAAACUGGGUCUAAUACCGAAUACACCCUGCUGGUUGCAUGACCUGGUGGGGGAAAGCUUUUGCGGUGUGGGAUGGGCCCGCGGCCUAUCAGCUUGUUGGUGAGGUUACGGCUCACCAAGGCGACGACGGGUAGCCGGCCUGAGAGGGUGAUCGGCCACACUGGGACUGAGAUACGGCCCAGACUCCUACGGGAGGCAGCAGUGGGGAAUAUUGCACAAUGGGCGCAAGCCUGAUGCAGCGACGCCGCGUGGGGGAUGACGGCCUUCGGGUUGUAAACCUCUUUCAGUAGGGACGAAGCGUGAGUGACGGUACCUACAGAAGAAGGACCGGCCAACUACGUGCCAGCAGCCGCGGUAAUACGUAGGGUCCGAGCGUUGUCCGGAAUUACUGGGCGUAAAGAGCUCGUAGGUUGUUUGUCGCGUUGUUCGUGAAAUC
rnacentral:rRNA from 2 species